CUCCUUAUGGGUUUGGUGAGAAGCGGAUUGGCUCAACGAUGUGGAGGUCCUUAUUGGUGGCAAUGCACCAAGGUAUCUUUGUUUUACAUUUUUUGACAUACACAGAGCCAAGAUCUCACUUGCGCUUGCACUCAGUUGAUCUUGCUACCUCAAAAAUUUUAAGAUUUGUUUAUGACAAAAAGGAUUUGUUUAUGCUUUAUAUAGGUCAAAUUAAACGUAUUUGCGCCAAUAUAAUAUGACAACUUGUCAAUGGAAAUCUCGGGUGUAAAUUUUGUACAUUUUUGGAUCUAACCAGGUGCAUCUGCGAAAAAUGAAUCACCUUAGUAGUACAUACACGAACUUGCGGUUAGAGGUAGACGACUGCCUCUGUAGCUCAGUUGGUUAGAGCGUUGCAUUGGAAUCGCAUAGCUAUUUUACUCCUGGUUAGGUGUAAAAUUAGUAAAAAUAUAUAAAAUGUACACUCGAGAAACUCCUUCAACAUUUCCCAUAUAAUGUUCAUUGUACACAUAAGACAACCCGUUCAAAAAAAGGAUACACGACACAAGAAAUUCAAUAUCUAUCUAACAAUUGUAUUGUUCGGUAUCAAAUUUCAGAUGCGAUACUCCUUGAUGCGAAGACAACCAGAACAACUUGGGGCGAAACAAAAAGUAUUGUUGAGAAGAGCAAUUCAAAGAAUAAAUAACUUUCCUUUAUUUAAAAAAUUUAGCAUUUACAAUGUUUAUAAAUUUAAAUGAAAGUCUUUACAAA